UACGGAGGAUCCGAGCGUUAUCCGGAUUUAUUGGGUUUAAAGGGUGCGUAGGCGGCCUCUUAAGUCAGCGGUGAAAGUCUGUGGCUCAACCAUAGAAUUGCCGUUGAAACUGGGGGGCUUGAGUAUGUUUGAGGCAGGCGGAAUGCGUGGUGUAGCGGUGAAAUGCUUAGAUAUCACGCAGAACCCCGAUUGCGAAGGCAGCCUGCCAAGCCAUGACUGACGCUGAUGCACGAAAGCGUGGGGAUCAAACAGG
rnacentral:rRNA from 1 species